rnacentral:tRNA from 1 species
GGGCGAUUAGCUCAGUUGGUUAGAGCGCCGCUCUGAUAAGGCGGAGGUCCGUGGUUCGAAUCCACGAUCGCCCACCU